AUUGAACGCUGGCGGCAGGCCUAACACAUGCAAGUCGAGCGGAUGACGGGAGCUUGCUCCUUGAUUCAGCGGCGGACGGGUGAGUAAUGCCUAGGAAUCUGCCUGGUAGUGGGGGACAACGUUUCGAAAGGAACGCUAAUACCGCAUACGUCCUACGGGAGAAAGCAGGGGACCUUCGGGCCUUGCGCUAUCAGAUGAGCCUAGGUCGGAUUAGCUAGUUGGUGGGGUAAUGGGUCACCAAGGCGACGAUCCGUAACUGGUCUGAGAGGAUGAUCAGUCACACUGGAACUGAGACACGGUCCAGACUCCUACGGGAGGCAGCAGUGGGGAAUAUUGGACAAUGGGCGAAAGCCUGAUCCAGCCAUGCCGCGUGUGUGAGGUAGGUCUUCGGAUUGUAAAGCACUUUAAGUUGGGAGGAAGGGCAGUAAGUUAAUACCUUGCUGUUUUGACGUUACCGGCAGAAUAAGCACCGGCUAACUCUGUGCCAGCCGCCGCGGUAAGAC
rnacentral:rRNA from 1 species